AUUGCUGGUGUGAGCCAGUUUUAAAUGAUUUUCAUUUUAUUCCUUUUGUUAACUCAAUUGAAAUUACUUCCAGUGCUGCUUAUACCUUGAUGAAACUUUAACUUCAUAACUGAUAAGGAUGAUAUGUGCAGCACACUGGCAAAAAGUAUAAAUUAACAGUCUUCAUAUCACUCUCUUUGCUGGAGGUCCUUAGCAAGAAUACUAGAGGACCCGAAGAAAGUCUAUGAAUCAGCACCCCUUCUCUCUCAGUUGUGGGGGAAGAAGAUAGAUGAGAGACUGCUGCAGCUUAGGUUACAGCCUCAUGUGACAUCACUAUUCAGCUCUUCCAAAGAACUUGCCAAGGAUCUCUGUCAAAGAAGGAAGUGGGGGCUCUAUACUCCAAACAUGAUAUGUAAAAGGUGAAAAAAGGGGGCAGGACAGUGAGAUGUUCUGUACCUCGGAGGAACACCCUGCACCCCCAUGUUCAUCCUUAUAAUAUGAUUGUGUGGUAUCCAAUGCAAAUAUUGUCAUGUCAGGUGUCUUUGGAAGGCUCAUGAUGCACUGAGCAUUGUUGUUAUAGGUUGUAAUUUUGUGUAUAUAGUUAUGAGGCUGAAAAUGUGUCCUCAUGGCUUAAAAAAAAGCCCAAGCAAAACUCUCCAGGAACUGAGGGGCAGUUCACAUCUCAUCAGAGCAUGUAUGGGACAAACCCAGCCCAGCCUCACAGGAACAAAAGACACUGGCCUAGGCAGCAACAAAGGAUCUGUAGGACUCUCGAGUGCGUCACCCCCCUUCCCUUGGUCAGUUUGGGACAAUGAUGAAGUAAUGCUCACCUUACCCUAAAGAGGGAGAGGGGGCACAAAGCCAACAGGGAAGAAAGAACAUGCCAAAAGUCUCUCCCUUUUAUCAUGCUGACUCUCUUUUCCACCUCCAUCUACAGACACCACCACCAAGUGACUGAAGCGCUGAUCAAAGGGGAGAGCCUGGCUGAAGGGCAACCAGCCAGCCUGUGGCGAGAAGCAUCUAAGUUUGUAAGGGCACUGAAAGUGUUAAGAUCACCUUAGAAUGCGUUUUGCUUUUAUUUCAUUUGACCAAAUCCAACGUGUUGUGCUUUGAUUUAUAAUCACUUAAAAGCUAUCUUUUUGUAGUUAAUAAAUUUGUUUGUUUAUUCUACCUGAA